UACGUAGGGGCGCAAGCGUUUGUCCGGAAUUAUUGGGCGUAAAGAGCUCGUAGGCGGUUUGUCGCGUCUGCUGUGAAAACUCGAGGCUCAACCUCGGGCUUGCAGUGGGUACGGGCAGACUAGAGGUAGGUAGGGGAGAAUGGAAUUCCCGGUGUAGCGGUGAAAUGCGCAGAUAUCGGGAGGAACACCGGUGGCGAAGGCGGUUCUCUGGGCCUUACCUGACGCUGAGGAGCGAAAGCGUGGGGGAGCGAACAGG
rnacentral:rRNA from 1 species